rnacentral:rRNA from 1 species
UACGUAGGGGGCAAGCGUUGUCCGGAUUUAUUGGGCGUAAAGAGCGUGUAGGCGGUCAGGUAGGUCCGUUGUGAAAACUCGAGGCUCAACCUCGAGACGCCGAUGGAAACCAUCUGACUAGAGUCCGGAAGAGGAGAGUGGAAUUCCUGGUGUAGCGGUGAAAUGCGCAGAUAUCGUAAGGAAGACCAGUGGCGAAGGCGGGUCUCUGGACAGUUCCUGACGCUGAGGCACGAAGGCCAGGGGAGCAAACGGG